UACGUAGGGUGCAAGCGUUGUCCGGAAUUAUUGGGCGUAAAGGGCUCGUAGGCGGUCCGUCACGUCGGGAGUGAAAACUUGGGGCUUAACCCCAAGCCUGCUUCCGAUACGGGCGGACUAGAGGUAGGCAGGGGAGAACGGAAUUCCUGGUGUAGCGGUGAAAUGCGUAGAUAUCGAGAGGAACACCUGCGGCGAAGGCGGGUUGCUGGGCUGACACUGACGCUGAUUGUGCGAAAGCUAGGGGAGCGAACGGG
rnacentral:rRNA from 1 species